GUAGGUGGCAAGCGUUGUCCGGGAAUUAUUGGGGCGUAAAGCGCGCGCAGGCGGUCCUUUAAGGUCUGAUGUGAAAGCCCACGGGCUCAACCGUGGAGGGUCAUCGGAAACUGGGGGACUUGAGUACAGAAGAGGAAAGCGGAAUUCCACGUGUAGCGGUGAAAUGCGUAGAGAUGUGGAGGAACACCAGUGGCGAAGGCGGCUUUCUGGUCUGUAACUGACGCUGAGGCGCGAAAGCGUGGGGAGCAAACAGGAUUAGAUACCCUGGUAGUCCACGCCGUAAACGAUGAGUGCUAAGUGUUAGAGGGUUUCCGCCCUUUAGUGCUGCAGCUAACGCAUUAAGCACUCCGCCUGGGGAGUACGGCCGCAAAGGCUG
rnacentral:rRNA from 1 species